rnacentral:rRNA from 1 species
CCCUUAGAUGUUCUGGGCCGCACGCGCGCUACACUGAUGCGUUCAACGAGUUUAGAACCUUGACUGAUAGGUCUGGGUAAUCUUUUGAAUGCGCAUCGUGCUAGGGAUAGAUUAUUGCAAUUAUUAAUCUUGAACGAGGAAUUCCUAGUAAACGCGAGUCAUCAGCUCGCAUUGAUUACGUCCCUGCCCUUUGUACACACCGCCCGUCGCACCUACCGAUUGAAUGUUUCGGUGAAGAUUCCGGAUAGGACUUUUUUGAUUUAUUUCAAUUUUGUCUUAAAAGCUAUCUAAACCUCAACAUUUAGAGGAAGGUGAAGUCGUAACA